CUUACGUUUUAAAAUGUUCCGACUCUCCAGCUCCUCCACAUUGGGUCUCUGGCUCAGCCUCCUGCGGAGAAACACCAACACCACGUUUUGAACCAUUGUCCACUCUCCCGCUGUCACGGCCCUUUCUUCUCUGCACUUUUGUCACUUGUCCGGAAUAACCGCUUAUGUCUCCAUCUUGCAUCCGAACCCCGGCUGUGAUACUUGGGUAGAGGUGUGCCGAACAUCUGGAAGACUAAGGAAAAUCUGCCUGCUUCUCUUCUUGGAUUAUGUAUGGAUUUCGAGGUGAUCCAUGUCAUGCCAGCGUGUGCUGCAAUCCUCUGUACUUGCUGCACUCUGCUACAUGCGCUUUUCUACUGGGUCGUGAUGGACUGCCGGCGCGCCUCUGCCUCAGUCUCCCUGGUUACUGCAUGCAUAAUGAGCUGUGGGCCGGGCUUGUUUCAAGAGGCAUCCCCGGUACAACCCACUGAGGUGCACUAAGCCAGCAGCACACUCAAACACGCACGACUUUCUCAGCAUGUCAUGUGUCCCCAGCAUCAAAGCCUUCAAAAAGAGCAUGAUCUAGAGGUGCAAAGGACAGACAGCAGAAUGCCACCCUCACUGUGGGACUCCCUUCAUCCUCUGUCCCCACUUUGUACACUUUGUAUUUAUGCAACACAAAGUUACAAUAAACCCGGGAGAUAAUCAAUUCACUCCCAAGGCGGCCCAAAGUGGCCAGCUUGCUGUUGCGCCUGAUGGGGGGAGUGUGGACCCCAGUUACCAAGCAGCCAGCUCUUAGCACUCUCUGCUGGUCCAGUACAUCUACUACAGGGACAGACAAGAUGGGAGAGAAGAACAGGUGUGUGGAAAGAGUGGAUUUGUGUGCCCCUUUUCUCAGUGUGUUCCAUCUGCGCUGUGCUUUUUUGGAGCUUCCUGUACCUCCUCCGAAUCAGCACACGCCAGCAAGCAUGCAGACAAACGUGCAGGUGUGCGCACACAAACAACAGCCGCCGCAACACAUGGUGCAGACACAUGAACGUGCCUAAUCGAGCUAGCGUAUCCACUGGGGGGAGCAGUCUUGAUGCACAUUUGUUGUCGUCAUCUUACUGCUUUGUUUUCGCAAGGAGCUGGAAGAGAGAAAUCAGGGGCCGUACUUAUCAAGCUUCUUAGAAUUACUCCUAAGAAGUCUGCUAAGAGUUGACUUAAGAGUAAAUAAAUUAUUCGCUGAAAGCUGCACUUAAAAGUUAGUUAUCAAGCGUCUUACUCACACUUUCAGCGAAGUGUAGGACUGAAUCUUAAGUGUCACACUCAGAGCUGAAU